UACGGCGGGUGCAUGCGUUUUCCGGAUUCAUUGGGUUUAAAGGGUGCGUAGGCGGCUUAUUAAGUCAGUUGUGAAAGCCGGCGGCUCAACUGUCGAACUGCCAUUGAUACUGAUAAGCUUGAGUACAGUCGAGGUAGGCGGAAUUUAUGGUGUAGCGGUGAAAUGCAUAGAUACCAUACAGAACACCGAUAGUGCAGACAGUUUACCAGGCUACAACUGACUCUGAGGCACGAAAGCAUGGGGAUCGAAUAGG
rnacentral:rRNA from 1 species